GGACGGGUGAGUAACGCGUGGGUAACCUGCCUCAUACAGGGGGAUAACAGUUGGAAACGGCUGCUAAUACCGCAUAAGCGCACAGUACCGCAUGGUACCGUGUGAAAAACUCCGGUGGUAUGAGAUGGACCCGCGUCUGAUUAGCUAGUUGGUGGGGUAACGGCCUACCAAGGCGACGAUCAGUAGCCGACCUGAGAGGGUGACCGGCCACAUUGGGACUGAGACACGGCCCAAACUCCUACGGGAGGCAGCAGUGGGGAAUAUUGCACAAUGGGGGAAACCCUGAUGCAGCGACGCCGCGUGAGCGAUGAAGUAUUUCGGUAUGUAAAGCUCUAUCAGCAGGGAAGAAAAUGACGGUACCUGACUAAGAAGCCCCGGCUAACUACGUGCCAGC
rnacentral:rRNA from 1 species